rnacentral:rRNA from 1 species
UACGAAGGGGGCUAGCGUUGUUCGGAUUUACUGGGCGUAAAGCGCACGUAGGCGGAUCGCUAAGUCGGGGGUGAAAUCCUGGAGCUCAACUCCAGAACUGCCUUUGAUACUGAGGAUCUUGAGUUCGGGAGAGGUGAGUGGAACUGCGAGUGUAGAGGUGAAAUUCGUAGAUAUUCGCAAGAACACCAGUGGCGAAGGCGGCUCACUGGCCCGAUACUGACGCUGAGGCACGAAAGCGUGGGGAGCAAACAGG